CACCUAGCAGUGCAGACCAGGGACUGACUCUCCUCCAGGCAGGCAGUCCACAAAGGCCAGGCCUGUGACCUUGCCGUCCCUCCACUGCCCCUGCUGGAUCCAGAUAUCCGGAAUGGCCCGCUGGUGGUACUGCCUCCUCCAACUCCUGACCCAGUGGACCCAGGAGAGGUGGUGGAGACCAAGGAUGUGAUUUGCAAGUUCCCAGGGCAGCGGCUCAGCUGGUGGGAAGCCCAAGAAUCCUGCGAACAGCGCUUUGGCCACCUGGCCCUGGGGCCUCCCGAUGAAGUUCUUGUUCCACAGCUGCGUGACGCAGUCUGGUUGGGCCAAAGAGAAACCAUUCUGCGGAGACCCCCUCGGAGGCGUGAGUGGGGGCCUGGGGUGAGGCGGGGGCUCUGGGGCCCUUCAGAGACGGGAGCCCACGAUGACAAUCCUUGUGGAAAGCACUCAAAGUAACACUUCGCUGUAGCUCUAGGUUCCCUUGCCUGGACUGGAAGUAGGGGUUGUCCUUUGGGCAGGGAACCUAGUACCCUCGUUUCUUCUUUUCCCGAGGCGGGAG